rnacentral:lncRNA from 1 species
AGUACUCUGGAGUUUUUCCGUACCUGGAAACGUGUCUUGGAACUGAUGCUGAACUGAAUUUCUUGGGUUCGAGUUUAAGGGACUCAGGAUUGCAGAAGCCUCGUUAAUGGGAUCUAGAGAUGCGAAGAACUGGCCGGCCGAGGGCUGCAGGCCUGAGAGGUGCACCCCGGCGGGCCGCCCACCGGUUAGCAGGGAAGUGAGAUCUGGGGACAAGGGAAAAGGAUAGCAGGUUACAUCUCGGGCACACUCACACUCUCCGCUGAUUUGUUCCUCCCCUUCCCCUUGCCCUGGAUUCACUUUUAUUGAGCGAAGUCAAGAGAGAACCCGUCUAGGCGCUGAAACCUCUCUCUCCCAACAGUUGCCAAGGAGCGACGCACGAAAAGUUCCUGUGUGUCCCUCACGUCCAUAUGCAUGUAUAUAGUAAGUAAAGGCUUUACAUAAAUCGGCUUACGGCCUCACUUUCACGUGUCUUCCAAGAACGCCACAGACGCAAAACCUCCGCCCCAAGGUGGCCCCACUCUGCCCGCUCAUCUAGGCGGUUUUGUUUAUUAUUUACAUUUCCUGGGUGAAAUUUUUACUAGAAAUCAGAUAAGUGCGAAAGUGUUUCCCAAAAAUGCUUUAGCUGUCAGAAAAUAUAAUUCUGUCUCUAGAUACAUUAUUAAAGAGAUCAAAGUCAUGUUAGCAGAUAAUUACACCAACCACUUUUAUAAAUAUUGAUUCUAAGACGUGUUUUUAAAGAAUCCCUGGAGUCAUUUUUUGUUUGUUUUACAUAGAACAGGUGAGUUUUAGACCUAAUGUUUUGUAGUUUUCUUACAAUUCGUUUUCUUCUCUCCCGUUUUACCGAUUUGUCCUUAAUUGUAAAAACACUCAAAGGCACCCCAAGCCAGCCCGGGGUCCGGGGAGUGGGUCAGUGGUCAGAGGCCUGCAGCCUCCCGCCCAAGACCUACCUCUCAGCGUGUUGCCUUCUUUGACUUUUGGGUCAAAUUCUGCAGAUAAAAUGCGGUCAAUUCCAAAUUUGAGGUCUUUGCUGGAGGGGGCCGGGGCAGAGCCACUGUGGUGGGGGUUCGGAACCACUCGCGUCCCCGAGGCCGGGGGCUGCAGGGCGCCAGCCCGGGGCGGAGGCGGAGGCUGUUGCUGCUGCGGCUGUUGCUGCUGCUGUUGUUGUUGCGGGUGAUGGUGGUGGUAGGCGGCUGAGAGCGGAGACAGCCGCUGCGGGAAGCCAGCCGGGACUUCGGAGGGCGCCACCACUGGGGUGGGUCGAAGCGGGGAUCUGGCCGCCGCUUGGAAAGAGGCGUGCGGGUGAACCGAGCCCAAGUGCGCGGUGAGGGCGGCGGCCGAGGCCCCUGCCAGGCCCUCCGGGGCCGCCCCCAGAUCCCCCACGCCGGCGUGCAGAAUGUCUGCGAUGCAGAAGGAGGGCUUUUUGACGGCGGCGGGGUCCAAGGGGAAGGAGCAGCCGCCUGGGCCGGCCGAGGAGCAGUAAGCGGCCGACCAGAGGCUGAAGUUGGAGGCGUAGAAGGGAGCCAGCCCGGCUGCGAACAUCCUGCCGGGGCCAGGUGGUCUCAGAAGAGGCAACUGGUUGCCAGGAAGCACAGUCUAUGAGACCCAGAAGUAACUCUGGAGAUCCUCCAAUUACCUCUCACUUUACAGUGAAGGAAACUGAGGCCCAGAUGGAGUCAGUAGGUUACUUGAGAUCUCACAGUUGCAGAAGUGGACUAAAAGCCAGAUGGAGUUUUGCUCUCGUUGCCCAGGCUGGAAUGUAAAUAGUGUGAUCUCGACAUACUGCAACCUCUGCCUCCCAGGUUCAAGCGAUUCUCCUGCC